UGUAGGAGCUGAUAUAGUUCUUUGGGGAUGGGACAUUUUAUCACAAUGGCAUCUCAGGUUAGAAACUGGAUUUUAACAAAAGCUGUUGAUGGACAUAACACUUUAAAACUUACAUGGACAUCUAACACACCCAUUUGGGUCAGCCAGUGGCCCUUACCUGAAGAGAAACUUGCUGCUUUAGAGCAGUUAGUGCAGGAACAGUUAACCAAAGGUCACUUAACUCCAACUACUAGUCCCUGGAACACUCCAGUUUUUGUAAUCAAAAAGCCAAACAGUGGGAAAUGGAGGUUGUUACAGGAUCUCAGAAAAAUUAACGAAGUAAUUCAAGAAAUGGGUUCUUUACAACCAGGUUUACCCUCUCCUGUUAUGAUUCCAAAAGAUUGGAAGUUAACUGUUAUUGAUUUAAAAGACUGUUUUUUCAAUAUUCCCUUGCACCCAGACGAUGCACCAAGAUUUGCAUUUUCCAUCCCAUCCAUAAAUCAGCAAGCACCUUUGAAAAGAUACCAUUGGCUUUCUCUUCCACAAGGCAUGCGCAACUCGCCGAGUAUAUGUCAGUGGUAUGUUGCAAAAAUACUUUCCUCAGUUCGUGCACAAUAUCCAAAUUCUCUCAUAUUACAUUACAUGGAUGAUAUCUUAGUAGCAGCAAAGGACCAAGCAUCAAUGCAGGAGACAACAGAUCAGGUCAUCUCAGCAGUGGAGAAAGCAGGACUCACUGUAGCAAAAGAAAAAAUACAGACACUUCCUCCCUGGAAAUAUUUAGGAUACAGGAUCACAGAACAAACGGUAACUCCGCAGCCACUCCAGCUAAGGACAAAUCCAAAGACCUUGAAUGAAGUGCAGCAGCUUGUAGGCACUCUGAACUGGCUUCGUCCACUACUAGGCAUUUCAAAUCAGGACUUGGCUCCUCUGGCAGAUUUGUUAAGAGGAGACACAGCCUUAAACUCACCGCGAGAAUUCAACAAAGAAGCUCAAAAUGCUUUAGAGAAAGUGAUGAGAGCCAUCCAGUCACGUCAGGCUCAUCGGUAUAAUCCUAACCUGUCUUUUUUGUUUGCAGUUUUAGGGGAGAGUCCACAACUUCAUGGUUUGAUAUUCCAGUGGGAUCUAGAGAAGAAGAAUGCACAAACAACUGAGCCACGGAUAGAAGCAAAGACUGUUUUCUAAGUUUGCAUUAGUUAAAAUUGUUUACAAGAAAGUUUUGCACUGAAAAAGUUCUGUAGUUAUUGUUGUGAUAAAAAAGUUGUUAAACCUACCUCUAUGUAAAAGUCACACAUAUAGCCAGAAAUUUGAAGCCUACCUGUAAAAACACUUCACCAAAGUUAAGAUAGAGAAUUGGCAGCAAAAUUUAAAAAUUAUUGGCAUUCUAAUCUAUACUCCUUUCUCCUCUUUCUUUCUAAAUGUAUAGUAAAGGGUGAGAUGAAGGAGUGUAGGGGGAUGCCCCCAAUGAGAGAGGGACAAACUAGCCUUUGUCCCCCAAAAAAGGAAGGAGGCCCAGAAGUUUACAUGGGCACCAAAUUCCCAGUGACUUCUAGAGUGUGAAGGUGCAGGGGCCCAACACUGGAACUGUAAUAUCUCAGGGCAAAGGUGACCAGGGUCAGAGAGAGACACCCCUCUGAGGACAAUGGUCUCACCAUCAGCAUUUGCAGGCUCAUGUUAAUGUAGCAGCCUUCAUUGGUAUCACCCAGUCCAGCUGCCCUUUUUUCCUUAUAUGUACUCCCCCUAGAAUGUUCUCCCCUCUCUUGUCCCCCAUUGGUCCCGGUUUACUGCAAUGCUCCGCCCCUGUUACCUCAUUGGUUCCCCAGUUGGCUGCCCCUCCUCUGCACCACCUGUGCUCAGUUCCCAUUGGCCCUUGGCCCUCAGACCCGCCCCUUUCCCCCCUUAUCAAACCCUGUGUCCUCAGCCCCAUUUUGUCUCUGUGCCUGGACCCUCUACAUUGCAAUAAACUGUGUUUGGAGCUGUGCACACAGACCCAUCUCUGGUCUUGUCCAUCAGCAGGUUAAGCAAGCGUGCCCUGGGCUCUGGGAGUGCAGGAUUUCUCAUUCCCAAACCUUGGCCGGAUGGAGGAGGAGGCUGUGAGGAAGAGGAAGAAGCCCUGGAACAUGCAGGCAGAAAAGGAGCUGAGGACGGAGAGCAGGGAGGAAAAAUCCCCACAGAAGAACCCCAUGGAAGAGGCUGUUCUGAGCAGCUCGACAGCACAGGAAUCCAACAGAGAGGAAAAGCCCCAGAGAUCCCACAGGACCAGGGGCUCCAAACCCAGCCCAGGUUGCUCUGAGGUGGACAGACCCACCCUGUGCCAGGAAGGUGGACAGAGCUUCAGGCAGAGCUGGUGGCCCAUGAGCAGCUUCAUGAUGGGGAGAAGUCCUACAGGUGUUUGGAGUGUGGGAAGAGCUUCAGGAAGAGCAGCACCCUGAUCCGCCACCAGAGGAUCCACACUGGGGAAUGGGCCUACGAGUGUGGGGAGUGUGGGAAGGGCUUCAGGUGCGGCUCUGAGCUCGUCAUCCACCAACGCAUCCACACUGGGGAGAGACCCUGUGAAUGUCCCCAGUGUUGGAAGAGGUUUCACACCAGUUCCAAUCUCCUCCUUUGCGAGCGGAUUCACACCGAGGAGAGCCCCUUCCGCUGCCCCGACUGCGGGAAGGGCUUCAAGUACAACUCCCACCUCAUCACCCACCGGUGCAUCCACAGUGGGGAGAGGCCCUACGAGUGUCGCCAGUGUGGGAAGAGCUUCACCCAGAGCUGUAACCUGAACAGACACGUAUGGAAGCACCGGUAAG